rnacentral:rRNA from 1 species
UACGUAGGGGGCAAGCGUUGUCCGGAAUUAUUGGGCGUAAAGCGCGCGCAGGCGGUCAUUUAAGUCUGGUGUUUAAUCCUGGGGCUCAACCCCAGUUCGCAUCGGAAACUGGAUGACUUGAGUGUAAGAGAGGAAAGUGGAAUUCCACGUGUAGCGGUGAAAUGCGUAGAGAUCGUAAGGAAGACCAGUGGCGAAGGCGGGUCGUCUGGACAGUUCCGUGACACUGAGGCACGAAGGCCAGGGGAGCAAACGGGG